CCUACGGGAGGCAGCAGUGGGGAAUUUUGGACAAUGGGCGCAAGCCUGAUCCAGCAAUGCCGCGUGAGUGAAGAAGGCCUUCGGGUUGUAAAGCUCUUUUGUCAGGGAAGAAACGGCUGAGGUUAAUACCUUUGGCUAAUGACGGUACCUGAAGAAUAAGCACCGGCUAACUACGUGCCAGCAGCCGCGGUAAUACGUAGGGUGCAAGCGUUAAUCGGAAUUACUGGGCGUAAAGCGUGCGCAGGCGGUUUUGUAAGUCUGUCGUGAAAGCCCCGGGCUCAACCUGGGAAUUGCGAUGGAGACUGCAAGGCUUGAAUCUGGCAGAGGGGGGUAGAAUUCCACGUGUAGCAGUGAAAUGCGUAGAGAUGUGGAGGAACACCGAUGGCGAAGGCAGCCCCCUGGGUCAAGAUUGACGCUCAUGCACGAAAGCGUGGGGAGCAAACAGGAUUAGAUACCCUGGUAGUCCACGCCCUAAACGAUGUCUACUAGUUGUCAGGUUUUAAUUAACUUGGUAACGCAGCUAACGCGUGAGUAGACCGCCUGGGGAGUACGGUCGCAAGNUUAAACUUAAAUGAAUUGACGG
rnacentral:rRNA from 1 species